ensembl:misc_RNA Metazoa_SRP Metazoan signal recognition particle RNA
GCCGGGCAUGGUGGCACGUGCCUCUAGUCCCAGCUAAUUGGGAGGCUGAGGUGGGAGGAUCGCUUGAGCCCAGGAGCUCUGCGCUGUAGUGCGCUGUGCCGUUGGGUGUCCGCACUAAGUUCGGCAUCAAUAUGGUCCCGGGGGACCACCAGAUUGCCUACGGAGGGGUGAACCGGCCCAAGUCAGAAAUGGAGCAGCUCAAAACACCUGUGCUGAUCAGUAGUGGGAUCGCGCUUGUGAAUAGCCACUGCACUCCAGCCUGGGCAAUAUAGCAAGACCUCGUUCCU